UUACACCUCACCCUCUCAUCACUCUCUCUCCAUCCGACGCCGAGGUCGCGACACACCUGAGCAGGGAGCGCGUGCCAGUGCCACCACCCAUGGCGAGCACCAACAUGGCCUCGGCCACCUCGCGGUUCAUGCUGGCUGCCGGCGUGCCCGCCACCGGCAUCAGCGGCAACGGCAGCGGCCGCGUCAGCUUCGCGCCGGUACCAAACAGGCUGGGCAGGAGGCUCGUGGUGCGGGCCGAGGAGGAGGCCGCGGCACCGGCCGAGCCCGCGGCGGAAGGGGAGGGCGCCGUGGCCACCAAGACCAAGGCCGAGAAGCCGCCGCCGAUCGGGCCCAAGAGGGGCGCCAAGGUUAAUUAUAUUAGUACCAUCAUCCGUGUGCUCAACUGCUGGUGAUGCAAUCCAUUGCUUAAUCUCACUCACUCUCCAAUUCUUGUGCUGAUCGCCAGGUGAAGAUCCUGAGGAGGGAGUCCUACUGGUACAACGGGAUUGGCAACGUCGUCACAGUUGAUCAGGUUACUAUUCUUACACCACCCGAAUCAAAGGCCCCUCAGUAGACUACAAGCUAAGAGUGUCAUCGGAAAUUCUAUAGCAUAGGGACUAAACUCAUUACACUCCUAGAAUAACUCUGUUUCAGCUGUUCAAUUCUUGUAGCAAUGAACCCAGAAAAGGCGAUAAAAUUGAGCAUUUGAUUCGUUUGUGCAGGACCCCAACACCCGCUACCCGGUGGUUGUGCGGUUCAACAAGGUGAACUACGCCGGCGUGUCCACCAACAACUACGCCCUGGACGAGAUCCAGGAGGUGAAAUGAGAGAGGCUGGCUCAAGGGCCUCCGUGCUCCCCUGUGGUUGGUAGUUGCGAAAUGAGGGAUGUGAAGCUGCUGUGGUAGCGUCACAACAUCUUGUGUGUGAUAGCUUAAUCUCUGUAAUCAUUAUGUAAUUGCUUUGCUGCUUGCU
rnacentral:lncRNA from 1 species